GCCCUUAGAGUUUGAUCCUGGCUCAGGAUGAACGCUAGCGGCAGGCCUAACACAUGCAAGUCGAGGGGUAUUGUAGCAAUACAAGAGACCGGCGCACGGGUGCGUAACGCGUACGCAAUCUGCCUCUUACUUUUGGAUAGCCCAGAGAAAUUUGGAUUAAUACAGAAUGUGGUAAUGAACUGGCAUCGGUUUGUUACUAAAGAUUUAUUGGUAAGAGAUGAGCAUGCGUCCCAUUAGUUAGUUGGUAAGGUAACGGCUUACCAAGACUAUGAUGGGUAGGGGUCCUGAGAGGGAGAUCCCCCACACUGGUACUGAGACACGGACCAGACUCCUACGGGAGGCAGCAGUGAGGAAUAUUGGACAAUGGGCGGAAGCCUGAUCCAGCCAUGCCGCGUGCAGGAAUAAGGUCCUAUGGAUUGUAAACUGCUUUUAUACGAGAAGAAAUAGUGCUACGUGUAGUAUGUUGACGGUAUCGUAUGAAUAAGCACCGGCUAACUCCGUGCCAGCAGCCGCGGUAAUACGGAGGGUGCAAGCGUUAUCCGGAAUCAUUGGGUUUAAAGGGUCCGUAGGCGGUUUAAUAAGUCAGUGGUGAAAUCCAGUCGCUCAACGAUUGAACUGCCAUUGAUACUGUUAGACUUGAAUUAUUGUGAAGUAACUAGAAUAUGUAGUGUAGCGGUGAAAUGCUUAGAUAUUACAUGGAAUACCAAUUGCGAAGGCAGGUUACUAAUGGUAUAUUGACGCUGAUGGACGAAAGCGUGGGUAGCGAACAGGAUUAGAUACCCUGGUAGUCCACGCUGUAAACGAUGGAUACUAGCUGUUGGCUUUUGUCAGUGGUUAAGCGAGAGUGAUAAGUAUCCCACCUGUGGAGUACGUUCGCAAGAAUGAAACUCAAAGGAAUUGACGGGGGCCCGCACAAGCGGAGGAGCAUGUGGUUUAAUUCGAUGAUACGCGAGGAACCUUACCAGGGCUUAAAUGGGAAUUGACAGGCGUAGAGAUAUGCUUUUCUUCGGACAAUUUUCAAGGUGCUGCAUGGUUGUCGUCAGCUCGUGCCGUGAGGUGUCAGGUUAAGUCCUAUAACGAGCGCAACCCCUGUCGUUAGUUGCCAGCGAGUGAUGUCGGGAACUCUAACGAGACUGCCGGUGCAAACCGUGAGGAAGGUGGGGAUGACGUCAAAUCAUCACGGCCCUUACGUCCUGGGCUACACACGUGCUACAAUGGGCGGUACAGAGAGCAGCCACUGCGCGAGCAGGAGCCAAUCUAUAAAGCCGUUCACAGUUCGGAUCGGAGUCUGCAACUCGACUCCGUGAAGCUGGAUUCGCUAGUAAUCGCAGAUCAGCCAUGCUGCGGUGAAUACGUUCCCGGGCCUUGUACACACCGCCCGUCACACCAUGGGAGUUUGUUGCACCAGAAGCAGGUAGCUUAACCGUAAGGAGGGCGCUUGCCACGGUGUGGCCGAUGACUGGGGUGAAGUCGUAACAAGGUAACCA
rnacentral:rRNA from 1 species